GGCAUUCCGCGCUCAUGCAAAAGGAGGUAAGAUUCAUUCUUGCAAGUUACCAGUUUACACACACAGAGAAAAGAGAGAGAAUCACAGAGUGCGCACGAGUCUCGCAAAGAGUCAGUUCUUAGUUCUUUGGUGGUUUUGUAAGGCUGACUUGAGCGUCGGAGUGCCACCGGCCGCUAGAGGCGCCGUUUGGUGUGUUUCGCAGGUUUGCUUGGAGUUCUUGUGGAGUUCCUGGAGCGUUCUUGCACUUGUCACGGUUGCGGAGGUGGAAGAUAGAGUUUGAC
rnacentral:lncRNA from 1 species